rnacentral:lncRNA from 1 species
CCCAUCGCUCGAAAUUUGAGCGCCCGUUCUGAUUCGUGUGAGUCGGAACGAUUGAUACAAGAGGGUACACGCCUCAUAAUUGUAUCCACUUGGCUUGAGUCCAGCUGAAGCGUCAAAGUUUGAGCGAGAAGCUCGCGAGCAAGCCGUGGCUCCCCCAAUUCCCUCGCAGACUCGCCCUGGGCAAAACCAUCGGUGGGAAUGGCCUGAUCCCCACCCGGUCCUAGCGUCAACGCGUUCGUUGUCGCCUUGGCCUCAGCAGUUGCGCCGCACAAGGGCAAGUGCGUGCGUGCCACGCCAUGGCUGCAUCCAGGCGGCGUGGUGGGCGCGCCAUGCCUGCCGCACUCUGCUACAGCGGCAGUGCUGAAGCCAGGGCCCACACGCAGCACACGCCGCGGCCGCCGCCGGACAACUCGGCACGCUGCGCUGGCUACGACAACGGGAACGCCAACUAGGUGGCGGCGCUGGCGCUGCACGGGCCGCCGCCGCCGGCGGGCAGCACGCACAGCAGCGGGAACAGCCGCCACAACGCCGGUGUCGCGGGUCCAUACAUCACCUACCUGCUGCUGCAGCGGCAAAAGCCCUGACUAGCUAGCAACCCCGCUACUCGCGCUGGGCCUGCCGUUAGCGGGGGGAAUGAGAGCGGCGCCGGGGGUACUGAGAGCAGCGGGGGGAAUGAAACCGGCGGCGGGGUGUGCGAUGGGACAGUGGUAAGGCAGGUUGGUAAAGUCCCGUAGGGUGCAGCUGAUUCCCAGAACCCAACAGAUGGCACACAUGAAACCGGCGCCGGGGGAUGUGAUCGCGGCGCCUACCAGGGGGGCCAAGAGAGGCGGGAACCGGGGGGAUGAGAGCGAGAGCGGGAGCGGCAACGUGGUUGUGUAUGGGACGGAGGGCACGUGCUGUAGAGUUUGGCCGCUUGGGUGGUAAUCAGGGCUUGGUGCGUGGUUUCAUUCCUCGCCUCGGUGCCAGGGGCUUCCGUCCCAUCCACGUCUCCUGCUGCCCAUCCCAGUGCACGUCAUCUCACUCCCAAAGCAGUUUAUCCCAUCUUAUUUAAUCUCACAUCAUCCCAUAUAUACAUGUAACUUCAGUCGCGUCUGGACGCCAACGCCGCGUAUAUAUGUAGUGCAAGAGUGUCUGUCUGUGCCGCGCACAGAACCACUUCAGGUUGAGGCCAGGUACAGGCCUAAGGAGCGAGGUUAUUCCGUUGAAAGCAUGCAAGUCAAUGCUCUCAUCGUCAUUAUUGUUCACGAAAACACCGUACUAGCCAGUGUAGCUACCGUUCUUGCAUGAGCUCACAGCCUUCCCUGUACCGUACUAUAAUGUCAACUCGCUUGCAGUUCCAUCAUUUCCGGCAUGCUCGCACACAUAGUCUCACUACGCCAGGUCCAUCAGGUCCAGCGUCCAGCCAUGCGGGGGCGGGAUGGCAUGAGAUUCAGCCCCUGAUGAUGCCUCACGCGCCGCAACCGCCGCAGCCGCCGCCUCCACAGCCGCCGCCACCUCCGCCACAGCCGGCAGCGCCGCUGCAGCCGGCGGCGCCGCCACAGCCGCCGCCGCCAUGCCCGCCGCCGAUCCAGCUGCCGCCGUCUCCGUGGGAGGCGCCGCCGCCACCACCCACAGGGUGGCACGCGUCGAAGCCAGACCAGUAGAUCUGUGCAUUGCAAGCGAGCGGAUUGUACGGCACACGCGCAUAAGCCGAAGCGAUCCAGUCGCC